AUCGCUCAAUCCAGCUUCCUUUUCUCGAUCGUCUUCGUUUCUUUUAGUGAUGGAUCCUUUGUUUCAUAGAUCGAACGUUUUCUCGCUUUCAGAUCGCAUUACCCGGUGUCAACUACCUAAUCAGUAAAGACUUUGACAUUAUAUCGCAAGAUUCUUGGACUCGAAGCCCACCUUGGUCACUACCCUUUGCAAGAAAAAAAAGGUGUCGAAGAUCUAAAACCUGGCAAGUCUAUCGUCAAAGAUCAUACAACUCCAACCAUAAGCACCCUGGAAUCUUGGUGGGCAGUGCAAACUUUAAUGAACAGGUACAACUCCUUGAGUUCAUAUAACCUGUGGGUCUCAUGUCGGGUUAAAAAGCUAAAAAAACUCCACAUAUCAUGUCUUUAUCUAAGAGUCCGUCUCUCCCUUGUUCAGAUUCCCAUUGCAAGAUACUCUUCAAAAUAAAGUUGUCCGUCCAUUCAUCUUUUUUUUCUUUAGUAUUUAUUGUUGUUACUGUCGAGUCGUCAGCAUCACCAA